rnacentral:rRNA from 1 species
UAGGGAAUCUUCGGCAAUGGGGGGAACCCUGACCGAGCAACGCCGCGCGAGUGAAGAAGGUUUUCGGAUCGUAAAGCUCUGUUGUUAAGGAAGAACGAGUGUGAGAAUGGAAAGUUCAUGCUGUGACGGUACUUAACCAGAAAGGGACGGCUAACUACGUGCCAGCAGCCGCGGUAAUACGUAGGUCCCGAGCGUUGUCCGGAUUUAUUGGGCGUAAAGCGAGCGCAGGCGGUUAGAAAAGUCUGAAGUGAAAGGCAGUGGCUCAACCAUUGUAGGCUUUGGAAACUGUUUAAAUUGAGUGCAGAAGGGGAGAGUGGAAUUCCAUGUGUAGCGGUGAAAUGCGUAGAUAUAUGGAGGAACACCGGUGGCGAAAGCGGCUCUCUGGUCUGUAACUGACGCUGAGGAUCGAAAGCGUGGGGAGCGAACAGG